rnacentral:rRNA from 1 species
GACGAACGCUGGCGGCGUGCCUAAUACAUGCAAGUCGAACGCUGAAGGAGGAGCUUGCUUCUCUGGAUGAGUUGCGAACGGGUGAGUAACGCGUAGGUAACCUGCCUGGUAGCGGGGGAUAACUAUUGGAAACGAUAGCUAAUACCGCAUAAGAGUAGAUGUUGCAUGACAUUUGCUUAAAAGGUGCAAUUGCAUCACUACCAGAUGGACCUGCGUUGUAUUAGCUAGUUGGUGGGGUAACGGCUUACCAAGGCGACGAUACAUAGCCGACCUGAGAGGGUGGUCGGCCACACUGGGACUGAGACACGGCCCAGACUUCUAAGGGAGGCAGCAGUAGGGAAUCUUCGGAAAUGGACGGAAGUCUGACCGAGCAACGCCGCGUGAGUGAAGAAGGUUUUCGGAUCGUAAAGCUCUGUUGUAAGAGAAGAACGAGUGUGAGAGUGGAACGUUCACGCUGUGACGGUACCUUACCAGAAAGGGACGGCUAACUACGUG